CCCCACUGCUAUCGAGGUGGGACUAAGCCAUGCUAGUCGAGCGAACUUUAUGUUAGUGGCACACUGCUCAGUAACACGUAGCUAACCUACCCUUAGGACGAGGACAACCCCGAGAAAUUGGGGCUAAUCCGCGAUAGGUGUGAUGUCCUGGAAUGGUAUCACGCCCAAAUGUGUUCGCACGCCUAAGGAUGGGGCUGCGGCCGAUCAGGCAGUUGGUGAGGUAACGGCUCACCAAACCUUUGACCGGUACGGGCCAUGAGAGUGGUAGCCCGGAGAUGGACACUGAGACAAGGGUCCAGGCCCUACGGGGCGCAGCAGGCGCGAAACCUCCUCAAUGCACUCACGUGCGAAGGGGUUACCUCGAGUGCCAUCUGAAGAAGGUGGCUUUUCCUUGGUCUAAAAAGCCUAGGGAAUAAGAGGGGGGCAAGACUGGUGUCAGCCGCCGCGGUAACACCAGCCCCUCGAGUGGUGGGGAUGAUUAUUUGGCCUAAAGCGUCCGUAGCUGGCUCGAUAAGUCCUUCGUUAAAUCCGGCGUCUCAAGCGCCGGGCUGCGAGGGAGACUGUUAAGCUAGAGGGUGGGUGAAGUUAGCGGUAUUCCUGGGGUAGGGGCGAAAUCCUUUGAUCCCAGGAGGACCACCAGUGGCGAAGGCUGCUGACUAGUACACGCCUGACAGUCAGGGACGAAAGCUGGGGGAGCGAACCGGAUUAGAUACCCGGGUAGUCCCUGCUGUAAACGAUGCGAGCUAGGUGUUGGGGCGGCUACGAGCCGCUUCAGUGCCGCAGCGAAGGCGUUAAGCUCGCCGCCUGGGGAGUGCGGCCGCAAGGCUGAAACUUAAAGGAAUUGGCGGGGGAGCACCACAAGGCGUGAAGCUUGCGGUUC
rnacentral:rRNA from 1 species